ensembl:lincRNA
CAGCCUGCUAACCAUUCAGGUCCCAAACCUUCUGAAAGUGGCAAAACCUCCUGCCAAGUGGUGUCAUUCAGAAGAACAGAGGGAGACUCACUUCUUCACUGAGGAGGUUCUUACGGCUGACUUGCUAUACUUGACCGUGAAGAUGAUGCUCUCUACCGAAUUACAUCGGCACAAGGAAUUUACAGAAACUGGAUGUGGCUGUGAUAAAAAACAGAGCAGAGCACAGUUUUGCUGGGACAACAGUGGCCAUCAGUUACUCUGUCGUGUGGUCCAAGCUGGUUCCCCCAACUCCUUAGAGGAACCUAAAGAGGAGCAACAGCAGAGCCAAGGACAACCAGUACCCUAGAAGACUAGAAAAGAACUAAACUAAACUAACAGAACUAAACAUCCCAUAAGGAAAGAAGAAAAAAAAGAAAGUUCAUAAGAGGCAGCGUGUUUCUAACCCACCCUGAAUAUAUGAAGAAUCUCAGGCCUGCAUUUGAAAGACUAUUAUACUGUAGGGAACUGGGGAAAAUUCUAAAGAAUGGAAGGGCCAUUCUGGAACUUUCACAUAGACCCUUUUUCCCCCACCCAAGUUAACACUGAGUUAAAGGAUCAUUUGCCUGAAUUCCCAGUAUGUGCUCGACCUGUCAGCAUAGGAACCUGUAAUAAGGUACUACCCUGCCCCUCUCUUCCACCAAUACAGGUAUGGUACUAAGCUUAUACUCAAAACUGAAAACUUCUUACUGUUUUUCUCUUCCCAUAUUAAAAAUAAAUAAAUAAAUAAGGCUAAGAAACUAAGAAACAUGCCUGAGUGAAAAUGUUUCCUGGAGCUAAGUAGGGUCAUAUUGAGAAACUGAUCAGGGUGGUGAACCAUAGUUGAUUGAAUGAGGGCUCUUCAUCUGCUUCAACUAAUGAAGCUAGACUUCUUGGAAGAUCACGCAUUUUAGAUAUAUAAAUAACAAAGACAUUUAGUGUAAGUUUAAAGGACCAGAUAAAGGAACCAAAAGAGAAGAAGUUUGUUUCUUAAUGGAAGUAAACAAAAAGAUCAUC